GACGAACGCUGGCGGCGUGCCUAAUACAUGCAAGUCGAACGCAGUGGCGGACGGGUGAGUAACACGUGGGUAACCUACCCAUCAGCGGGGGAUAACCCUUGGAAACAGGUGCUAAUACCGCGUACUAGGAUGAGCCCAAGUGGGAUUAGGUAGUUGGGGAGGUAAAGGCUCACCAAGCCGACGAUCUCUAGCUGGUCUGGGAGGAUGACCAGCCAAACUUGGACUUAGACACGGCCCAGACUCCUACGGGAGGCAGCAGUGGGGAAUCUUCCGCAAUGGACGAAAGUCUGACGGAGCAACGCCGCGUGAGUGAUGACGGCCUUCGGGUUGUAAAGCUCUGUUAAUCGGGACGCGGUACCGGAAUAGAAAGCCACGGCUAACUACGUGCCAGCCGCCGCGGUAAUAC
rnacentral:rRNA from 1 species